UGCCAGCCGCCGCGGUAAUACGGAGGGGGCUAGCGUUGUUCGGAAUUACUGGGCGUAAAGAGCACGUAGGCGGUUUAGAAAGUUGGAAGUGAAAUCCCGAGGCUUAACCUCGGAACUGCUUUCAAAACUUCUAAGCUAGAGUAUGACAGAGGAAAGUAGAAUUCCCGGUGUAGAGGUGAAAUUCGUAGAUAUCGGGAGGAAUACCAGAGGCGAAGGCGACUUUCUGGGUCAUUACUGACGCUAAGGUGCGAAAGCGUGGGGAGCAAACAGGAUUAGAUA
rnacentral:rRNA from 1 species